AUUGAACGCUGGCGGCAUGCUUUACACAUGCAAGUCGAACGGCAGCGCGGACUUCGGUCUGGCGGCGAGUGGCGAACGGGUGAGUAAUAUAUCGGAACGUACCCAAGAGUGGGGGAUAACGUAGCGAAAGUUACGCUAAUACCGCAUACGAUCUAAGGAUGAAAGCAGGGGACCUUCGGGCCUUGUGCUCCUGGAGCGGCCGAUAUCUGAUUAGCUAGUUGGGGAGGUAAAGGCUCACCAAGGCAACGAUCAGUAGCUGGUCUGAGAGGACGACCGGCCCAACUGGAACUGAGACACGGUCCAGACUCCUACGGGAGUCAGCAGUGGGGAAUUUUGGACAAUGGGGGCAACCCUGAUCCAGCAAUGCCGCGUGAGUGAAGGAGGCCUUCGGGUUGUAAAGCUCUUUUGUCAGGGAAGAAAUCCAAUCGAUUAAUACUCGGUUGGGAUGACGGUACCGGAAGAAUAAGCACCGGCUAACUUCGUGCCAGCCGCCGCCGUAAAAC
rnacentral:rRNA from 1 species